UUGUCUUUUAAAUAAAGACCAGUAUGAAUGGCAAGACGAAAGUUCAACUGUCUCCCUAAAUUAAUCAAUGAAAUUGAUCUUCCCGUGCAGAAGCUGGAAUAAAAUUAUAAGACGAGAAGACCCUAUGGAGCUUUAAAUAUAUGAUCAACUGUAUAAUAUAAAAUUCAAUAGAUUAAGCAUUAAAUAAAACAUUAUGAUCAAAAUUUUAGGUUGGGGCGACCACGGAGAAAAACAAAACCUCCGAGAUGAAAAGAGUAUCUUAAUUUAUGAACUACAGUUCUAAUAAAUAAAAUAUUUAACAUAAUUGAUCCAAUUUAUUGAUCAACGAACUAAGUUACCCUAGGGAUAACAGCGCAAUCCUUUCCAAGAGUCCCUAUCGACGAAUGGGUUUACGACCUCGAUGUUGGAUCAGGACACCCCAAUGGUGCAGCCGCUAUUAAAGGUUCGUUUGUUCAACGAUUAAAGU
rnacentral:rRNA from 1 species